AUGCAGAUUUUUGUGUAUACCCUUAGUGGCGGGUGUGUGUGUGUGUGUGUGUGUGUGUGUGUGUGUGUGUGUGUGUGGUGGGGGGCAGGACCCAUCACGCUCGAGGUUGAGCCCUCGGACACUAUAGAAAAUGUAAAGGUCAAGAUCCAGGAUAAGGAAGGACUUGCUCCUGAUCAGCAGAGGCUGAUCUUUGCUGGUAAGCAGCUGAAAGAUGGCCGUACAUUGUCUGACCACAACAUUCAAAAGGAGUCUACCCUUCAUCUUGUGUUGAGAUCUCACUUCGUGGUGGUGCUAUUCUUACACCACUCCCAAGAAGAAUAAGCAUAAGAGGAAGAAGGUUAAGUUGGCUGUGCUAAAAUACUAUAAGGUGGGCGAAAAUGGCAAGAUUAGCCGACUUUGUCGAGAGUGUCUUUCUGAUGAGUGUGGUGCUGGAGUUUCCAUGAGUAGCCACUUGGACAGGCAUUACUGUAGCAAGUGUUGUCUGACUUACUGCUUCAACAAACCAGAAGACAAGUAG
rnacentral:lncRNA from 1 species